UUGCGGUCUGCAACUCGACCGCAUGAAGUCGGAAUCGCUAGUAAUCGCGAAUCAGAAUGUCGCGGUGAAUACGUUCCCGGGUCUUGUACACACCGCCCGUCACACCAUGGGAGUUGGAAGCGCCCGAAGUCUGUGACCUAACCGAAAGGGAGGAGCAGCCGAAGGUGAAGCCAGUGACUGGGGUGAAGUCGUAACAAGGUAGC
rnacentral:rRNA from 1 species